UCCAGAACAGGCCCAGAAUUGAAAGGGAAAGAAAUUCUGGGCUGGUGGCCUUGCAAGAUGGGUGAUCACUGACCAGAGCCAGGAAUCUCUGACUCCUGCCCAAGAGAGGAAGAACUGGCACGACAGACAGACACGACUGGACUGUGGUGACAGCCACCUCCUGGUUGCGACAUGGUAAAGGGACCUGGGAAAGCAAAAACUUGACCAAAGCAUGCAAUUCCUGCCUCAACAGAGGAGAGGUCAGGGAGGAGCACGGGGAGGCGGCUUCCUGCCUGGGGUUACUGUCCGACUGAGCCUGAGGCCGAGGGUGAGCCAGGAGCCCUGCUCUCCUCUCCCCUCUGCAGUUAAAGGAUCCUCAGCAGCUUCUUGGGAGUGGGCAGCUGGCACUUUGGCCCAAAGGCUGAAAAGAGAAGAAAUUGUCAGCCAGUGUCUAAUGUUAUUUUCAAGGGUGGAGCCAGACCAAGUGACGGAUCCAGCCUUCCUCUGGAAGCCCCAACGUUAUAAAAACUUCCUCUCUGGCUGAAUUCAAAACUAAAAACCUUCUAAAUCAUUCAGCUGUGGCACUGGCUCUUGAUUCUCAAGGUACAGUUGGUUAAAAGCCCCAACAGUGGCCGUGCCACCCAUGUCUCAGGACAGGAGCUACAUGGUUCAGAAGCCUUCGGAACUGGUUUUGGGGAGGAGCUUGGAAAGGUUUGGAAAUGCCAGCUAGAGAAACACCUCUGGGAUGCUGUAAGCCAAACCUGAUGGGUGAGUCUGGUUGGAGGAGGCUCGAAGACCAGAAUGCUGAUAGAAAUGCAGCCCACAACGACCAGGCUCAAGAGGUUCCAGCUGGGAACAAAGACCGCACUGGUAGCUGGACUCCAGCCUGAAAAUCUGAACCACAUACUAGAUCUGACUUCUGUGGGAACGCCACCGACGAAACACCCGGCACACGUGCUUGGCCGCUGCCGCGGGCAGCACAAGUCCUCAUGCGCACGGCCUCGAGUGUCAGAAUCUCUCCCUUCAUGCCUGAACGGAGUUCCAUUGCGAGGACGGCUGUAUCUCCACCCACCAGUUCUGGAGACUGGAAUUUCCUAACUGGAGUGUCAGCAUGGCCUGGUUCUGGGGAUGGCCCUUGACUUGCCUUUCAGAUGACCACCUGCUCACAGGGUUCUUCUGUGAUUCCCUGCGCCUUCUCUCCCAAACUCUGAUGUCUCUUUUCUUCAUACAAGGACCUUAUUGCAACCUGGAUCACGGCCCCUCCUUUCUAUCAUAACGACACCCUGAAAGGCCUUAUCUCUCAGGACAAGCACGCUGGCAAAUGGAGAGUCCACAUGACUUUUGGGGAAUGUGAUUCAUUCCUGCCUCAGACACUGCACCACCUCUGCGUGCUGGAUGACAGUGAUAUAGUACCGAGCUUCGCAACCCAGCACUGUGGACAUUGGGGACCGAACGACUUUUCGGGGCCUUUCCUGGACAUGAUAGGACAUUCAGCAGCAUCCUUAACCUCUGUCCCAUCAGAUACCAGUAACAUAAUUCUAGUUGUGACAACAAAAAAUGUGGCUAGGCAUUGUGAUUGCCAGAGGUGACAAAAUUACUGUAAGCUGAGAGGGAGAGAGAGAGAGAGAGAGAGAGAGAGAGAGAGAGAGAGAGAGAGAGAGAGAAAGAGAGAGAGAGAGAGAGAGAGAGAGAGAGAGAGAGAGAGAUUGUAAUGAGUGAAAUCUUUGAGAGAGAGCAAGAGAUGGGAUUCUGUGUUGUAACCAGAGCUCGAUGAGAGAAGAGGGAAUCUACCUGUUGGGAGACCUAGGUGGGGAUUGGUCAGUGGAGGACACGUACUAGUUUGUUUCUUUAAGUUAUACUGACACCUAAUAACUGUACAUAUUUAUGGAGUGCCAUGCUAUAUUUCGAUGUGUGUACACAUUGUACGAUGAUCAAGUCAGCACAGCAUGUAGAGAAUAUGCCAUUUUUGUGCUGAGAGGAUCUGGCAUCCUCUCUUCUGGCUGUGCUGAAACACACAAUACAUUGUCAGCUCUGAUUAUCCUGCUGUGCGGUGGAAGGCCAGAGCUGAUUCCCCGUAACUAACUAGAGAUUGGACACUCUGACUGGCUUUCCCCACCCCUCGGCCUUCCUCGCUCCAGCCUACGGUCACUGUGAUUCUCUAAACUUCUGUGCGAUCAACAUUUUAGAUUCCACAUAUGACUAAGAUUAAGCUCUCCUUGUCUAUCCAUUUCUGUCUUAUUAUUAAUAACACAGUGUCCUCCAGGUUCACCUGUGAUGUGACACGGGGCAGGAUUUCCUACUUCAUCAUGGAUGAAGGACAGCAGCCUCUUUAACACACGGUGCUGGAAAAACUAGAUUUCAACGUGCAAAUAAUUAAACUUGAGCCCUGUCUCUCACCAUGUGAAAAAUCAGCACAAAAUACAUAAAGACUGUUAGAGGCAAGAACUACCGAAGAAAGCAUAGUGUCUUCUUACACGUGUUUCUCAGUGACAUCCGGCAUCUGUGGAGGAAGCAGGACUUUGCCGCAUAUCCACAGCCACCUGUGAGUCAGUGAUGUCCUGCUGGGAGCCUUCCCUGAGAAGAACUGCUUCUUCAGGAGCUAAUACUGGCAGGUUCUUGUGACACUGCUUAACCUGUUUAUUAGAGUCCAACACAUGUUGGAGCUCUUGAUGGAUUUUGUUCUCCAAGACUGUAAGUUAUUUGAAGAUGGGCACUGCCCUGUAUGUAUUUAUAGUUAGCCCCUAGCAGGCACUCAAUAAAUGUUUUAUUGAAAGAA